GCCGCUGCUCCGGCCGCGCGCCCCGAGGCCCCGCGCCCAACUCGCAAAGUUUGGCGGGCGGCGGCGCGCACGCGGCCCGGGGCGCACGGAGGGUCUCUGCGGCGGUGUCCGGGGUUGCCGAGUCCCCGGCGGGCUGCGGUGCGGGCCCAGGCGGCGCCGGAGAGCGCGCCCGGAACGUGGCGGUGGCGGCGGUGGCGACGAGCCCCGGGCGGCUGCGGCGGCCGCAUGUGCGAGCUCCGGCGCCGGCCCGAGCGUCGGGUCAUUUAAUUGGGGAGGAGGGAGGCGGGGCGGCGCGGGGCGGAGGGCGCGGGAGGGAGGUGGAGGCGGGGAAGCCCUCCCUCGCGCCGCCCUGCUGCCCGCCUCCACCCGGGCUCCUCCUCCCUCUCCCCCCUUCCCCGGACUCCGACUCCUCCUUCUCCUAAUCCUCCUCUCCCUACCCUCCUCCCCUGCCUCCUCCUAACCUCCUCCCCUUACCUCCUCUCCAGCCCUCCUCCCCUGACUCAUCCUCUCCUCUUGAUCCUCCUCCUUCCUCCUCCCCUGACCUCUUCUCUCCCCAACCCCCGCACCCCGCCCCCGUCCUCCUCCCUCCCCACCCUCUCUCACCCCCCUGUGUCCCAAACUAUGGCACAAUAGCGCUCAGCUCCUCUGUCUAUUCUGUGUCCAGCAGGAGCCCGCGGUGAUUCAUUGCUCCAAUUAGGGGCUCUGCAGCCCGUGGCUCGGGCUGUCUGAAGGGUCUCCUUUGGGACCCACGAAACCCAUCAGCCGCUGCCGCUGAUCUUUAAGGAAAGGUCAAGCCGGACGCAUUAGAGCCAGGUUUGGGAAAAGCAGAACCUAGGCAGUGCUGACAGACCAUGCUCUCCAGAGACCAAGGCAGGAGGAUCUCAAGUUCAAGGCCAGCCUGGGCUGCACAGUAAGACCCUGUCUCAAAGGCACAGAGUCGAGGGACCCCAGCAAACCCCACCCCCACGUGGAGCACAGCAGUGGUGGUAUCCCGGCAUGCUGGGCAAGUGCUGAACACAAGCCUGGGCCUUGCAGGAACCAGUUCCUGAAUCUCCACAGGGCCCAUGGCAUGUCAUUGCACCCCGGCUGUCUGACGAGAAGACUGAGGUUCAGAAUGAGGAGAAAUCAGCCAAUAGAAACAGCAGAAUCAUCAGGCCAUCUGGCAGAAUGGUACCUCCUAUAAUCCCAGCACCCUGGAGAUGGAUGGGAAGUUCAAGGCCAGCCUGAGCUGCAAAGUGAAACCCUGCCUCAAAAAAUAAAACCUUGGAAGGAGGCAGGACUUUUCCUUGGGUCAGCAAGAUGGCUCCAGUGAUUAAAGGUGCUUGCUACUAAGCCUGACUACCUGAGUUCAGUCCCUGGAACCUACAUGGUAGAAGGAGAGAAUCGACUCCUGAAGGCUGUCUUCUGACACAAAUGUACGCCGAGUUGGAGGUCAGUCUAUCUCAAAGAAAAGAAAAGGAAAAAGAUUUUUCCUUGACAUCACCUCUUCCUGGGGGCCUGGAGGUUUAGUUCAAGCACGGGCUAACCAUGGCCCUGAGAGAAGCAGAGGAAGCAGGUUGCACCCCAGGGGCCCCCACAGCUCCAGGUGGUGCGCUGCUCUCCACUCCCCACUGCACAGCUAUUGAUGUUGAUCAAGCUGGAAAACUGAGCGGACGGUAACGUGGAACGCCAAGGUGGACAUGGACAGUUGAGUGGCCCCUGCAACUGGGCUGGGGGGCAGCGGAGGCCUGGGAAGGGGCAGGUGGUCAGGGCCCCUGGCCACAGGGGCAGAGCAGGCCAUUUGGAAGCAAGGAGAAAACCAAUGGUCACCAUGGUAACCAGGCCCUGUACAGGGCUGCGGCUUCAUUAUGCUGUCAGUGCUCAUGGGCUGGAGACAGAUGGAAGGACCCAUGCCUAGGGUACAGGUGGGGCAGGGUAGCAGGUGCCUGCCUGCUUUCCCCUUCCCUGGGCCCGACAGUUGCUCACCCAUCAGCUAAGCAUCCUCUUUUCAAAGUGCAGCUCUGGUGCUGGGCUCUGUCGGUGCUCCCAGCCAUUCUUAGAAGUCAUUGUCCUUGGGUUAAAGAGCAAGCUCCAUGUACUGUCCCCUCCCAGGAGAGGUGAGACUCGGGGUUGUACCCUCCCCAAGAGUACCAUGUGCAUCACACCUCAGCCUUUCCACCUCCCUCGCUGCUGCCCGUCAUUCCUUACUCUCCCUUGGUCCACAGCUUGAGCCUAUACACUCGAUUUCCCCAGAGGCUCCAUUGCCUCUGAAUUCUACUUGGGACAGUCAGUGGGAAGGACUGGAGACUGGAGAGUAGGGAUAGCCUGGCCUGCUGCUGGCUGGAGUGCACCCCCCCCCACCACUGCUCCUCCAUCCACACUUUCUGGCUUCUCCUCAGCUCCCACCAGCACCCUUGACCCUGAGCCUGUGUGUAUUGUUGACCUCAUUAUUUCUUGUUCAGCUCAGCUACCACCUUCCUGGUCUCCUCCCCUCAACCCCCUGUCCUGCAGCCCCCUGCUUAGCUGCCCUUUCCUGGUAGGUACUCAUGCAGGCCUUUGGUUUCUGGGGAUUAUCCCCACCUCCCAGGAGCCUCCUGGCUGAGGCCUGGCUGGGGCUGUUUGUGAUUAUGGUUUCAAGAGUGUGGUUACUUGAUUCACAUCUGUCUCCUCCAAACUGACAAAUUCCACAGGGUGAGUGGCCAGCAUCUGGUUUUGCUCAACACUGCAGUCUAGCACACAGGAGAGAGCCUGCUGCUGGGGCCUGGAGCAAGCAGGGUAGCAGACCUAGUGUCUAUGCAAAUAAGAGACUUUAUAUGCAAAUGAGAGGUGGGAGGAGCUUACAGUAGCCCAGCUCCUGCCCCGGGAAGCUUCCCGGUUCACACCUGCUCACUGAAACUCCCAAGUUUCUACUAGCCACUGGGAUGGGGAGGGAGGGCAUGGAGGGAUGGGUGAGUGAGAGUGAGGAUGGAGGAUGGAAGGGAUGGGUGGAUUGGUUUGCAGAUAGGUGGGUGGACAGACAUAAAUGGGAGGAAAUAUUUAACCCUUGGAAAAUGUGUAGCAGUAGCUGAGGAUGGUGGCCCAGGCCUGUGAUCCGAGCACUUGGAGGCAGGAAAAUCAGAGGUUCAAGCUUAUCCUCAGCUACGCAGCAAGUCUGAGGCCAACCUGGGCUACAUGAUACUGUAUCUCAAAGAAAUAAAAAAAAAAUAAAAUAAAAAAGUCUAGUGGGAAAGACAGGCAGGCUGAAUUAAGACAAAAGCUAAAUGCCCUCUGGAGUAGAGGCUCCUGGGAUGGAGGCUGUGUCCUGUGAAGUGUGCCAAAAGGUCAAGGGGGGCAUGGCUUCAGGUCUGAGCUGUGCUCACUGUGCUGAACAAGAUUAAUGACUUGGUUGGGAGUCACUCUGAGGCCACCAGGGAGCUGCUGACAACCCUGCACCUGCCGAGGGGCACAAGCUGCUCGUGGGGCAGUGAGGGUCAGAGCUAAGGACAGCAUCUGCUCCCUUUACCCUGGUUCCAGGCUGGGCAGAGGGUCUAGACUCCAGACUCUAGACUCUAUGGCAGUGGUUCCCAACCUUCCUAAUGCUGCGACCCUUUAACACAGUUCCUCAUGUUGUGGUGACCCCCAACCAUAAAAUUAUUUUCAUUACUACUUGACAACUGUAAUUUUGCUACUGUUAUGAAUUAUACUAUAAAUAUCUGUAUUUCCCGAUGGUCUUUGGGGGUCGUGACCCACAUAUUGAGAACAAAUGUUCUAGAGCUUUAUAGGACUCAGAAUAGAUCUGAACCUGUCCAAAAUGAUGAGACCUAUGUUCUGGAGACUGGCUGAGGAGGCUAGAGCUGUAGGGGCCAUGAAUAGCCAUGACUUUCGACAUGUGUCUGGAAGAAUUGUGGGAUCUGGGGAAGUGACUCCAUCAAUAAAGAGUUUGGCAAGUUCA